CAUCGUUAGAACUUUGAAGUAACUAGUCUCACUCUCAUCUCUCUGUCACCCGUUUCGUUCGUGUGUUUUCUCUGUCUCCGAAACGAUCUCGCCACCGUAGAGGAGCGAUCUCACCACCGCAUUCCUCUUCGUCAUCCGGCAUACUGCCCCUCUCUCCGGCGUCCGUCGUCUUGCAAAGAGAAGAGAGAGCCAGGAGCGAUUCACUUCUCGUUUUGCCCUAAUCUUUGGUUUCCGAUACAUACUCCUUCUCGAUCUCACAUGAUUACCUGAACCAAUCUUCUCUGUCUGGUUCAGUCGCAGAAAAUCUUGUGCUAAGAUUCGUUGAUCGGAGAAACCUCCACCUUCGGAACCAUGAUUUCGAGAUAUGGCUGAGGUGAAAUCAGAGGAGUGUUGUUUGGAGAAAAAGCAAACUACUGUUGUGUCUUGCUCCUCUGUAUCUGAAGGCAGUGGCAGUGCACUUCACAAGUCUCCGGGGAUAUGUAGCCCGGCAGUGACAUCGCCCUCACAUCGGAGGACCACUGGCCCUAUAAGACGUGCUAAAGGUGGUUGGACUGCAGAGGAGGUUCAUGUGUAGAGGAGGCCAAGUCAGAGCCUAAUUACAACACCUAGAAAGGAGACCCAUACAUGUUUCAGGAGCCGAGUUAGCUGGGAAUUUAUAUGCUUCUUGAAUACUGAUCAAAGAGGACAUUGAGUAUAUAUUCAUGUUCACAACUCACAAGUAUUCAAUGAAGAUAAGGAACUGUAAUCUUAAUUUAAAGGUCUGGCCUACUUUUGGAAAUAUUUUCAUGAUUAUAGUGAGAUGUCACAAGUUUAUAGACCUUCCCAUUGAGAUAGGGCAUGAAGUAUGGUGUAACUUGUCAGAUCAGUUCAGGGUGGUGGUAGAUCUUCUGCAAGAGAAACUAUUGGAAGGGUUGCUUCUGGUGCUGUUGCUAAGAAAAUCCUUAAGAACUUUCCAAAACUGAGAUUAUGUCUCUCAAGUUCACAAGGUAGUAGUUCUUCCUGACGACCUAAUUGAUCAUGGCAAACUGACCCUUGAUCGGGUAUUAAAGGUUGCUUCUUCAUAUUUAUAUAUGGGUUUUGGUUCACCUGUAUUUGACAAACUUGAAGCUGAGCUGGCUAAAGCUGUUAUGUCACACCUGCAACUAAGGGCAUUCAAUUAGGUAGUGGGUUUGCAGGUAUUUAUUAUUGCUCAUAUAUAUGACUUAUCUGGGUGCUUUUGUCUGGUUAUUUAAACCUACGUAUGACUUUUUUUUUAUGGUUCCUCACAUAUAGGACUUUGAAUGUCUUUGCCUUAUUAGUUUGAUCUGACUAAACAGGGUCAAACUUGAUGUAUAUGCACUUAUUUGCUUUUUUUUAUAAUUUUUCUUUCUUAUUUUCACCUAUUCCAUUUGUGUUGGUGAAUGUUUUAGUUCAGUUGUAUUACAAUUUUUCCAGUGUUAUUUUUCUUUUAUAGAUUGUAUUUAGGAACCAAAUCUUGUAAUUUUAGACCAUUUGUCUUAGGUUUUGAGUUGUAAUUUUUCUUUUUCUCUCUUGUUAGACUUUGGACUUUCCUUUUUGGAUCCUUUGGUUGAUCUUUAUUGUUUGUUUUUUGUUUGUUUGUGUGGGUGAGUAUAGACAUUGGACACUAUUAUAAAUAAGAUCCUUUAGAGUGACCUUCCAAGCAUUCUUACUUUGGUUGCUUUUCUUGCCUAGAACAUCAUGAUGGUCGAUGCUAUUACUUUGUCUUGUCAUUUAAACUGACAUAUAUUACUUUUAAUGCCUUUGGGGUAUUAUUUUGAUCCGACUAAACAUGGAUCAAACUUAUGUGUAUCCACUUUUUUUAGAUCAUUUGUUUUAAGUUUUAAGUUGUAAUAUUUAUUUUCCUCUCGUUAGACUUUGGACUCUUUUUUUAUCUUUGGUUGAUCCUUGUUUGUUUGUGUGGGUGAGUAGAGACAUUGGACACCUUUGAAGUGAUCCUUUAGGGUGCUUGCUUUCAUUGCUUAUGGUGCUUUCUCGCCUAGUAUAUGACUUUUUUUUAUGGUUUCUCACAUAUUGAACUUUGAAUGCCUUUGUGUUAUUAGUUUGAUCUGACUAAACAGGGGUCAAACUUGAUGUAUAUCCACUUAUUUGUUUUUCUUUUCUAAUUUUUCUUUCUUAUUUUCACCUUUUCCAUUUGUGGUUGCAUGUUUUAGUUCAGUUGUAUUACAAUUUUUCUAGUGUUAUUUUCCUUUUAUAGAUUGUAUUUAGGAACGAAACCUUGUAAUUUUAGAUCAUUUGUCGUAGGUUUUGAGUUGUAAUUAUUUGUUUUUUUUUUUGUUUGUUUGUGUGGGUGAGAAAUAAGAUCCUUUUUUGUUUGUUUGUGUCUUUGUCUUAUUAUUUAAACUGACAUAUAUAACUUUUUUUUACGGUUACUCAUAUAUGACUUUUAAUACAUUUGGCUUAUUAUUUUGAUCCGACUAAACAUGGAUAAAACUUAUGUGUAUCCACUUUUUUUUUCCAAUUUUUUCUUUAUUAUUUAACCUUUUUCACCUAUUAGGAUUUCCUUUUUCUUUUAUAGACCGUACUUAGGACCAAGGUAAUUUUUAGAUAAUUUGUUUAGGUUUUGAGUUCUAAUAUUUCUUUUCCUCUCGUUAGACUUUGGACCUUUCUUUGGGAUCUUUUAGUUGAUCCUUGUUUGUUUGUGUGGGUGAGUAGAGACAUUAGAAAUAGGAUUCUUUGAAGUGAUCCUUUAGGGUGCUUGCUUUCAUUACUUUAUACAUGCUUUCUCGCCUAGUAUAUUUUCAUGAUGGCCGAUGUUAUGAGUGAUUUUGUCUUAUUAUUUAAACAAACAUAUAUGACUCUGAAUCCAAUGUCUUAUUAUUUUUAUCUGACUAAAGAGGGAUCAAACUUGAUGUAUAUCCCCUUAUUUUCUUUUUUGUUUAUGUCUAAUUUUUCUCUUAUUUUCAUAUUUUCCAAUUACUUGUUUUAGUAAAUUUGUAUUAGGAUUUUUCCGGUGUCCUUUUUCUUUUAAUAUUUUUGUCUUAAGUUUUUAGUUCUAAUUUUCUCUAACUUUAGACUUUUUUUGGGAUCCUUUGGUUGAUACUAAUUGUUUGUUUGUGUGCGUGAAUAGAGAGACAUUUGACACUACUCGAAAUAUGAUCAUUUGGAGUGAUUCUCUAAAGGUGCUUGCUUUGAGUGUUUUAUAUAUCUUCAUGAUGGUCGAUGCUAUGAGUGUCUUUGUGUUAUUAUUUAAACUUGUGUAUAUGACUUUUUUUAUGACUCGGAAUGCCUUUUGCUUAUUUAUUUGAUAUGGCUAAAUGUGGAUCAAACUUGAUGUAUGUAUAUCCACUUACAUUUUCAAUUAUUUGUAUUGGUUGUCACAUUUGUACUAGUAUUUCUCCAAUGUACUUUUUCAUUUAUAGAUUGUAUUUAGGACCAAAGCCUUGUAAUAUAUUGUCUUAGGUUCUAAGUUUAAAUUUUUCUUUUUGGACAUUUGGACAUUUUUUAGGGUCCUGCUUUUUCACCUAGUAUAUUUUUAUGAUG